UACGUAGGGACCGAGCGUUGUCCGGAUUCAUUGGGCGUAAAGAGCUCGUAGGCGGCCACUCAAGUCGAAUGUGAAACCUCGAGGCUUAACCUCGAGCCUGCAUUCGAUACUGGGCGGCUAGAGUCUGGUAGGGGGGAUCUGGAAUUCCUGGUGUAGCGGUGGAAUGCGCAGAUAUCAGGAGGAACACCGGUGGCGAAGGCGGUUCUCUGGGCAUUACCUGACGCUGAGGAGCGAAAGUGUGGGGAGCGAACAGG
rnacentral:rRNA from 1 species